UACAGAGGGUGCGAGCGUUGUUCGGAAUUACUGGGCGUAAAGCGCGCGCAGGCGGUCCUUUAAGUCUACCCGUGAAAUGCCGGAGCUCAACUCCGUGCACGCCGGGGGAUACUGGGGGACUGGAGACAUGUAGAGGCAAGCGGAAUUCCAGGUGUAGCGGUGAAAUGCGUAGAUAUCUGGAGGAACACCGGUGGCGAAGGCGACAUCCUGGACCGGUAUUGACGCUGAGGCGCGAAAGCCAGGGGAGCAAACGGG
rnacentral:rRNA from 1 species